rnacentral:misc_RNA from 1 species
CUCGGCUGUAGAACUGUUGAAAACGGGAUCAACCUCCGGUCGCGAGAGAACCGCCUAUCGAUUGCAGGAUGGCAUCGUUCCUUCUGUUGUUCAGGUUUUUAAGUCGACUUGCAACGAUUCCAUGCAAUAUCCCUAUGGUAGAAUGCCCUUGUUGACAUAUGAAUGAUCCCAUUAUUAUCACCUCUGACGACCCUGUAUUGAGCUCCCUGCAGUUCAAA